rnacentral:rRNA from 1 species
AUACGUAGGGGGCGAGCGUUGUCCGGAAUUACUGGGCGUAAAGGGUGCGUAGGCGGCGAUGCAAGUCCAUUGUGAAAAGCCCGGGCUCAACCUGGGAGGUGCAGUGGAAACUGUAUGGCUUGAGUGCAGGAGAGGAAAGUGGAAUUCCUAGUGUAGCGGUGAAAUGCGUAGAUAUUAGGAGGAACACCAGUGGCGAAGGUGACUUACUGGACUGUAACUGACGCUGAGUCACGAAAGCGUGGGUAGC